CAGUCGUACCGACGAGAAUUCAGCCCUUCGAGUGCGAACUUGUGGGCGUGCGUGAGCCUUUAACGGGCCUCGCUGUUUGCAAUGUUUGUGCUUUUUGGGUGUACUUUUUCGUAUGGUAGGCCAACGUCAGUCUUGAUUGUCGUAAAAUGAUCGGAGGAAUGUAGCUUCGAUCUCGUAUUGAAGUGUUAUAGCCUCUGGUAGAUGCGGUGAUUGAAACUGAGGAUUGCAACGAAUACCCUCUGGGCUAUCCGUCUGGCCUCUGAAAGUUGCUUAGGUGCCGAAAGCUUGCUUACGGUCAUUUAAGUUGACGGUCAACAGGUUAGAACGUGAUUACA
rnacentral:rRNA from 1 species